rnacentral:rRNA from 1 species
UACGAAGGUGGCAAGCGUUACUCGGAAUUACUAGGCGUAAAGGGCAGGUAGGCGGUUUGGUAAGUCUGUUGUGAAAGCUCCUUGCUUAACGGGGAGAGGCCAACAGAUACUACCAGGCUUGAGUAUAGGAGAGGGUACUGGAAUUCCCGGUGUAGCGGUGAAAUGCGCAGAGAUCGGGAGGAACACCGAUGGCGAAAGCAGGUACCUGGACUAUUACUGACGCUCAGCUGCGAAAGCUAGGGGAGCAAACAGG